AGGUCGGGAUUCCCGGCGCAGACCGGGAAUCCCCCUAGCAGACCGAAGCUCUAGACAGGACUCGGCAUGAGUGAGACUCGAACCAUCGCCCGUCUGUACUUCAAGGUGCCAGGGGCCGGCGACAAGUGCUCUGCGCCACCUGCCAGGCCGUGGAAUUAGUGCAAAUGUGUUUGUUUUCAUCUUAAACCAUUGUCAGUGACGUCAUUCUACGCGACUACCACAGGUGAAGGUGCUGCCCACCCAUGAUGCCAGCAAGGUGCGUGCAAGUGGAUCCGGCCUUAAAACCACUGGAGUGCCCAGCUCUCUGCCAGUGAAGUUCAACAUUGAUGGCAAAGAUGCAGGUGAGGGACUGCUGGCAGUGCAGAUCACUGUGAGCGCAUGUGAUCUGCUAUUCCUCUUUGAAUAGUACGCUGGUUGCCCCCGGAGUUCGAGUCUCCGGGAGGAAAUCCUGGUGGUUUGAGGCCCCAGGCUUGUGUUGGGUACGGUCCAUCACAAGGACAUUGGCUCGAGCGCGCUGUUGGGGAGAAGCCGGCCCAGACCUGUGUUCGAUCCAAGUACGCCACAGGGACAGCGGUUCGGGUACGCUGUCGGAGUCCAUUUCUGCAUACUAUAGUGCACGGAGUGGUGGUGUUCGUUCCUUGGUCCGUAGAAGGCAAGGGCCUCACGGGGACGCCUCGUGUAGUAAAAUGGGAUCUAGAUCCAGUAGAGCGGCAGACGUUUCACCAGGCGGCCAGGGACAAAACUCAAUGUGUGACUGUAUGGUAAGAACUGAGUAAAUGUGUGGUGUGUAAGAUUGCAGAGAAUGGUUGUGUGGGAAAAGUUGAUGUGUGUGUAAAAAAAAAAAAAAAAAAACAGUGAAAAAUUGGGUUCAAAAUGUUGAAAAUGGGAACAAAAAACAAGAAAAGAAAAAAGAGGAGUGUAAAAGUCGUCUCGUCUCCAACUAGCGGAAGGUGGUGGUCCUGCAGACCACCAGCUCCCCUAGUGUGGACACACAAAAAAUUUCUUUUUAGCAGAA